UCCUUGCGAUCCUGACUUUUCUGAGGAGAUGUCAGAAAAAUUACCAUGUGGAAAACUGGCUUGUGGCAGCCAAGCUUUAAAUGGAUAAGAACGCCAGCCUGAUGGCAUGUAGCCAGGCUUGGAAUGUGAGAUACCUAUUGGGCCACUUAUGGUAAGCAGAACUGGUGCUGUGGGAUAAACCAAAUAUACUGUAGGGUUAAGGUACCCGAUGCUGAUGCUAAUCAGACCUCAGAAAAUACAUUGAUUGAUAUAGAGAGCAGGAUGAUGGCUAUGGAAGUCAGAAUCCCUAAGCCGUGUGUAAUAAGUCACCUGUUGAAUCAACUAGCUCUGAAAAUGGAUGGCGCUAGAGCAUUUGGCUCAUACCCAGCUGUUGCUGUUAAAGCACACCCUCAGGACUAGGCUGUGACAAGUAGGAGGGCCAUCAUGGUGGGCCUAGAAGCUUAAGGCUCUGGCCUGGGUGGAGCUACCACAAGUC
rnacentral:ncRNA from 1 species